AGGACGAACGCUGGCGGCGUGCCUAACACAUGCAAGUCGAACGGAGCCAGGGGCAACCCUGGUUCAGUGGCGGACGGGUGCGUAACACGUGAGGAACAUGUCUUUCGGUGGGGGAUAGCCGGCCCAACGGCCGGGUAAUACCGCAUACGCUGACUUGAGCUCCUGCUCUGGUUCGGAAAGCAGCAAUGCGCCGAUUGAGUGCCUCGCGGCCUAUCAGCUAGUUGGUGAGGUAACGGCUCACCAAGGCGACGACGGUAG
rnacentral:rRNA from 1 species